UACGGGGGGGGCAAGCGUUGUUCGGAAUUACUGGGCGUAAAGGGCGCGUAGGCGGUUCGAUAAGUCAGCUGUGAAAACCAUGGGCUUAACUCAUGGCCUGCAGUUGAGACUGUCGGGCUGGAGUGUGGGAGAGGAGACUGGAAUUCCUGGUGUAGCGGUGGAAUGCGCAGAUAUCAGGAGGAACACCGGUGGCGAAGGCGGGUCUCUGGGCCGUAACUGACGCUGAGGAGCGAAAGCAUGGGGAGCGAACAGG
rnacentral:rRNA from 1 species